GCCCUGGUAGCUCAAUGGUGAAGCGCUCAGCUGCUAACCGAAAGGUUAGUGGUUUGAACCCACCCAGAGGCU
rnacentral:tRNA from 1 species